rnacentral:rRNA from 1 species
UCCUACGGGAGGCAGCAGUGGGGAAUAUUGCACAAUGGGCGGAAGCCUGAUGCAGCAACGCCGCGUGCGGGAUGACGGCCUUCGGGUUGUAAACCGCUUUCGCCUGUGACGAAGCGUGAGUGACGGUAGUGGGUAAAGAAGCACCGGCUAACUACGUGCCAGCAGCCGCGGUGAUACGUAGGGUGCGAGCGUUGUCCGGAUUUAUUGGGCGUAAAGGGCUCGUAGGUGGUUGAUCGCGUCGGAAGUGUAAUCUUGGGGCUUAACCC